rnacentral:rRNA from 1 species
CACGUAGGGGCCAAGCGUUGUCCGGAUUUAUUGGGCGUAAAGAGCUCGUAGGCGGUUGGGUAAGUCGGGUGUGAAAGCCCCCGGCUCAACUGGGGAGGGUCACGCGAUACUGAUCGACUCGAAGGCAGGAGAGGGUAGUGGAAUUCCCGGUGUAGUGGUGAAAUGCGUAGAUAUCGGGAGGAACACCAGUGGCGAAGGCGACUACCUGGCCUGUUCUUGACGCUGAGGCGCGAAAGCUAGGGGAGCAAACGGG